rnacentral:lncRNA from 1 species
AAACCAAAACUAAAGAUGGUGGCUAGAGCAGCAGCAGCAGCAAAGAAGAAGCAGGGGCAGCAGAAGCAAGAGGAACAUCAACAAGUGCAGAAGCAGAUCAUCUUGCUUAACAAAGGAAAAACUGGCAAGUUCAAGAGAAGCACUUCCAAUCUUGAAGAAGAUGGCAUUUCUUCUGCUAUGCUUUUGCUUGCUUGCAUUGCCUGCACACCCCAAAAGGUCUAAAACAUUUGGGGGCCUAGUCAUGUUUAAAGACGAGAUUUUGAUCCUUUAAUCUUGUACUCCUUUUAUAGGAUCAUCUACAAUAUUAUUAGUUUUGAAGUAACCAACUACCUAGAUUGAUAAUAUAGAGUCUGUAUCUUCUAUUAUUUCUUUGUAACUAGUAAAACAAUAAAGUACCAUUAGAUAUAAUUACCUAUUUACCAUGAUCACCAUUUGUCUCCCCAUAAUUUGCAUAUCCCCUUUUUGUUAUCUAAUGCGCUUCCACUAAAAAAAAAAAUUAAGUUCAAACUUUACAACAUGGUAACCUUUGCAACUGCUGUCUAUAUUCAGAAACUCCCUUUACGUACAUAAUAAACUUCAUUUGUACACUCCCUUUUACUUACUCUUUUUUUUUAUUUUUUUAUUUUCUGGUUGGGGGGGGGGGGGGGGUGGGGUGGCGAGGGAAGUAACGUCCACAUGGAGUAUCAAAUUUUAAGCUAUUUGGAGUAGAGAAGCAAAAGUUAAAGGAUUAAUAUUUUCUACGCUGACAGUGUGUCAGCGUUAAAUGAAUGACAACUAUGCAAAAUUUGAAUUUAAAAUUCAACUUUUGCACAUGUGUCAUGUAUCAAACGAUGAUAGUAUAUACACUGUCAGUGUAUAUAAGAUUUACUCAAAGUUAAAUAGCUUUUGAAGAGCACAUAAACAGUAGCUUCCUUGGAAUCAAGUUAUUCUGAAUUGCAGAGGGUAUAUUUUGCAAUUCUGUUCAAUGAAUUUGAUUAAACUACCACCGAUAAUUGGACUUAAUUGCUAUACAUUACAUUUCCUUGCAGGAGAACAUUAAUUUGCUAGAAAGCAGAGGGACCGGUUAGAUAUAUAUUAUCUGGUUCCUAAAUCAGCAAAUUGAUAGCUCCAGUCACUCUAAAAGCCGUUAAUAAUAAUAAUAAUAAUAAUAGGGGGGCAUUUGCUAAUUCGUUAGAGUCUAAAUUGUUUUAAAAAGAUAUUUCAAAGCUCAAAAAAAGAAAUGACAUUCCGUGAAGGAACAAACAGAAGUGAUACGUCUCAAUGACAUUUGCUAAUGAGUAAUCCUUAAAAUUAUUUAUAAAACGACUGAUAACAACAAAAUCCAUGUAAACGGAAGAAAUUAACUUCAAUUUCAAGGGAACCAAGUCAAUUGAGUUCUUGGUUGGUAUUUUAUGGGGAUUGACUGAUAUUGCACUCUUUUCCUCCCAAAAGGGCAUUGGUACAAUACAAACAACCAGAUCAAAGCAAACAAUUACCUGUGCUUGAAAAAAAGUGAAAAUGCCCAGAUGCAAAAGUACAAAUCUGGGGAACAUUUGCGCCCAGUUCUCUAAUUUGGUGUCAUCCACAAUCCACAUGCCUCGAAAUUGUAUUCACAUGGGGUUUCCUACCCAUUCUGUUGGCGACCAAGUGACCAAGGUUCAUGCACUCAACUUACUUUUGGAAGCGUAGGAAAUAGGACUUGUCCUAGUCGCUUGGCCCAGUCGUACUUAGAUUUUUCAUUUUCUG